UUGCCCCAUCUAUUAUAUGAGGACAAAAGUUAGAAAAAAUCUCACGGAACAGGGUAAACUUAUGGAAAGAUUCAGCCUACCCUGACAACCUACCGCUCUCGUCAAUGAUGGUGCAUACAGGCUCGUAGGGGGCUAGUCGCUAGGUGGCCCAGGUGCUGUGCUGAGCUGAGCUGCUGAUGGCCACAUUUAUCAUGGCGUCGUAGCGGCUAGUUAUAUCACGGCAGCCGAACGUGGCAGACCUUUAUUUUUGUAGGUGAAAUCCAAGGGAGGAAAUGCAAAUGCUCGGCGCCAUCUUGUACGAACGAUGUGGUCUGGCGGACACCUUACCAAGGUGACCAUGCAUUACCUUCGAGUGUAUUUAAGUUGCAAGUCGGUAGAUUUGCUCUGCAGUUUCCCGGAUACCAGCACCCUGCUUCGCGAGAACUACUCUACGUUGUUCUGGGUGGGCUUAGACGAACAUCUGAAUCCGAUUUUGAAGAAGUCUUGCAUCGAUGGACACUGACAAAAUAUAGGAAGCUGCACAUGAAUGUUGGGUAUUUUAUCAUAAGUAGAAUACAGAUAGAUUCUGUAGUAGUAGAUCUCUUUAGUUGGGUAUUGAAAUUGGCUUUGGUUUGUAUGGGGUCUGAUGAGGUCUCAGUUGCAUUUGAUCCUACUUGUUAUUUAUCACUGCCAAUGCCAGUCGAAAAGGAAGUACCAGUUGACCUGUAUCUGGCUAACGUGGACCUUUUAGCAGAAAUUUUUCUGCUUUCAAGGGAUUCAAAGAGUUUGUAGAAUAUUAUGUCUCUAGGAUUCCACAGUUUUAGGCAGAUUCUUAAUUAUAAAGGAUUGGGAAAGAAAAUUGACGGAGGCUCAGUGCCAAAAAAAUUAUGGUAGUUGGAAUGAUUACCGAAGCUCUUCGGAUUCGUUUAUUUCACUCGUUAUGGUAUUUAAAGAAAAUAAACGUGUACCUGUGCCCCUUUGUAUCUGUGACCCGAUUUCCUCUUCACUUGCGAUAAUUCUGCAGCGGGUCAUGCAGAUACUGUGAUCAGCAGAAAAAGUUGGAAGUGCGCUGCCCGGAAAGCAAAUCUGGGGUAAAAGAAAAAAACUUAUUCCAACUAGUAAGCCAUUCCCAAAUUCAACCAACAAAAAGGAAAAGGUGGAAGGAAAAACUUCGUUCUCUGGUAGUGUUUUAGUUAAAAUCCUUUUUGUGCAAAUUCAUUUUUGAAAUUGUUUACCUCAUUUUCGAAUGGUUCCGUUCACAUUUGUUGUUCAUGUGAGAUUUUAUGUUUACCAGUUACUGCAUUAUAUUGACCACUAUUGCAAGAUGUUUGUUUAGGAAUAACUACUGUUUUGUUUAUCUGGAAUGUUGUGUGGGAGUCCAUCAGGAAUUGCUGGUCUGCAGUAAAUUUGUCAGGCUAGGUGAUGAAGAUCAAUGAAUCAGAAAAUGUUUUGCAUGGGUGGUGAAUGUUCUGACAGUUUUAACAGUUGUGAUGUGGUGUAUUUCACUUCCACGCAUCAUGGUGUUUUUAUCUAUCAGUUGAAUUGUAUGGUUAAUUUUCUGUUCGUGUAACCUCAUUUCCUCUUGAAUCAUAUAGUAGAAAUUGGUGACCUGAAACAAUGAACAUGGAAAAAUCA